rnacentral:rRNA from 1 species
UUGGAGGGCAAGUCUGGUGCCCGCAGCCGCGGUAAUUCCAGCUCCAAUAGCGUAUAUUAAAGUUGUUGCAGUUAAAAAGCUCGUAGUUGAAUUUCGGGGUUCUACCGUUGGUCGGGCAAUAGUCUGUACUGGCGUGUGGAAUUUCUACCUUCUGGGGAACCAUCAUGUUAUUAAUUUAGCGUGGUGGGAAACCAGGACCUUUACCUUGAAAAAAUUAGAGUGUUCAAAGCAGGCUUACGUCUGAAUACAUUAGCAUGGAAUAAUAAAAUAGGACGGUGGUCCUGUUUUGUUGGUUUCUGAAUCACCGUAAUGAUUAAUAGUGAUAGUUGGGGGCAUUAGUAUUCAAUUGUCAGAGGUGAAAUUCUUGGAUUUAUUGAAGACUAACUUCUGCGAAAGCAUUUGCCAAGGAUGUUUUCAUUAAUCAAGAACGAAAGUUAGGGGAUCAAAGACGAUCAGAUACCGUCGUAGUCUUAACCAUAAACUAUGCCGACUAGGGAUCGGACGAUGUUAAUUUUUCUUGACUCGUUCGGCGCCUUACGGGAAAC